rnacentral:rRNA from 1 species
AUGAAGAUCGCCCGACGUAGGCGGCGACAGGACCGCCUGAGCAAGCUCAGCGACGCCACGCUGGGCCGCAUCCUCUCCUUCCUCCCAUCCAAGGAGGCGGCGCGCGCGGCGUUGCUCUCGAGCCGGUGGCGCGACGCCUUCGCCGGCGUCGACGCCGUGUCGCUGGAGGAGCCCGAGAGCCUCCUCCCGGACUACGAGGACCACGGCGGCUGCGGCUGCAUGGACUGCACCUACGGCCGCCCCGUCGACCCCAACCCGAAGCCGCCCUUCACCACCGCCGUCACUGCCGCCCUCCUCGCGCGCCACCGCGUGCCUCACGCUCCCGCGCCGCCGCUGCGUGCCCUCCGCGCCGCCGCUGCGUGCCCUCCGCGUCGCCCUCAAUGGCUCGAGCUCGACCUCCGCCUCAGCCGCGAGCCCAUCUGCAAUCGCCCUUACUCCCUCCGGGCCGCCGCCAGCAGCUUGAAAGACGCGCGGCGUGCUCGACGUAAACGCAGACGCACCCCCGACUCCGAUGCGGACGAAGCGAGCCGCCGCUCGACUCGCAAACGGCGGGUGCCGGUCUCCGACGACGAUUCUGAGCCGGACUACCAUGGGUACACCGUCCCGAGGAUGCUUUUCUCCUCCGUCGCCCUACGGUCGCUCAGCAUCGGCCCCUGCAGGCUCUCCGUGCCUGCCGCCGUCAGCAUGCCGUCUCUCCAGACGCUCCCCCUCACCCGCGUAUCCGACCGUGAGCGACACGUGCAAAGGCUCAUCGACGCCUGCCCUCGCCUCGCCGACCUCACGCUCGAGGCCUGCGCCACGGUGACCACACUCUGCCUCCUCGGCAACCGCCGCCUCCGCAAGCUCGCGAUCCGGUGCUGCCACAACCUGGCCGUCGUGGCCGUCAAUGGCAAGCUAGACUCCCUGGAGUACCGCGGCGCGGUGCCCGAUGCUUCUCUCCUGUCCCUUCGCCGUGCCGACCGCUCGAGUUUCACGUCGUGCAGUAUCGACAUCUGUGGCGAGGAGGUCUCGUCGGCGGAGGAGCUCGCUAAACUAGGAGAGUUUCUGCAGCGAGUUGCGUCCAUCAAUCACCUGCACCUGCGGUCCGCGCGCCUAGGCUCCGGCAUACAACUCGGCGCCAUGGCCAAGUUACCGGCGUUCACCAACCUUGUCCACCUCGAGCUAACCGGGCGCCUCGCGCACGAAGACAGCGACGCCGCCAUCCCCGCCUUGAGCAGGAUCCUCCGGCAUGCGCCGAGCCUGGAGGUGCUCUCGCUGGCCUUCGACACGGGCCCAGGCGACGAGGAGCUGCGCGCCACCCGCGAAAGCUGGGAAGACUGCAAGGUGGGGGAGCUCACGAACGCGCACCAGCUCAGGUACAACGAGGACGAGCUCCUCCUGCCCACGCCGACGGUGACCAUCCGCUGCCUCACGAAGCGGGUGAGGGAGAUCAACUUGGUGCAUUACCAAGGCGGGAGGGCACAGAGAACGCUGGUCAAGUUCUUGCUCCGCAAUGCUCCGGUUCUCGCCAAGCUCUACUGCGGAUUUGCUCCAGGGCCACUGUCGGUUCAGACCAAGCUGAGAUACGAGAUCCAAGGUUGGGCGAUGAACAGGCCGAAAAAUUGCAUCUUCGACUAA